UACGUAGGGUGCGAGCGUUGUCCGGAAUUACUGGGCGUAAAGAGCUCGUAGGUGGUUUGUCGCGUUGUCCGUGAAAACUCACAGCUUAACUGUAGGCGUGCGGGCGAUACGGGCAGACUGGAGUACUGCAGGGGAGACUGGAAUUCCUGGUGUAGCGGUGGAAUGCGCAGAUAUCAGGAGGAACACCGGUGGCGAAGGCGGGUCUCUGGGCAGUAACUGACGCUGAGAAGCGAAAGCGUGGGGAGCGAACAGG
rnacentral:rRNA from 1 species